AAAAACGCCCUUUUUAGGGCGACCAAAUCAUUUGAUAAAGAGUUUAU
rfam:Phlebotomus papatasi Contig50434.1, whole genome shotgun sequence.